UACGUAGGGUGCGAGCGUUGUCCGGAAUUAUUGGGCGUAAAGCGCGCGCAGGCGGUUCUUUAAGUCUGAUGUGAAAGCCCACGGCUCAACCGUGGAGGGUCAUUGGAAACUGCAGAACUUGAGUACAGAAGAGGAAAGCGGAAUUCCACGUGUAGCGGUGAAAUGCGUAGAGAUGUGGAGGAACACCGAUGGCGAAGGCAGCCCCCUGGGCUAACACUGACGCUCAGGCACGAAAGCGUGGGGAGCAAACAGG
rnacentral:rRNA from 1 species